UGACCUGGAACGGAUGUCGCGUCUUCCAU
rnacentral:sRNA from 1 species